CAGAGGGUGCAAGCGUUAAUCGGAUUUACUGGGCGUAAAGCGUGUGUAGGUGGUUGGGAAAGUCAAUUGUGAAAGCCCCGGGCUUAACUCGGGAACUGCUUUUGAUACUGUCUGACUAGAAUUCGGUAGAGGGAGGCGGAACUCCAGGUGUAGCGGUGAAAUGCGUAGAUAUCUGGAAGAACACCAAUGGCGAAGGCAACCUCCUGGGCCUGAAUUGACACUGAGACACGAAAGCGUGGGGAUCAAACAGGAUUAGAUACCCUGGUAGUCCACGCCGUAAACGAUGACAACUUGACGUCGGUUUGCUCUGCGAAUCGGUGUCGUAGCUAACGCGAUAAGUUGUCCGCCUGGGGAGUACGGCCACAAGGUUG
rnacentral:rRNA from 1 species